ensembl:lncRNA
AAUAAAUAUAGGAAGCCAAACCUAAAAUAACAAUUACUAGCGUCAAAUAAGUACUCAUUUAGUAUAAUAAGUAUAACUUUAAUAAGAUACUAAAGAGAAGGAAACCAAAGAAUACAUACCUGUGUUCUGAUAUUUUUGUUGUACUGAAUUGAUUUAGUGGAUUUAUUUUUCUUUGGGAAAUCUCACUGCACCCAUUGUUUAUCUUUUGUUUACAUUAGUUUUUUUUAUUUAACUUUAUUUUGUGGAACCCACUUUAAACGUGUUAAUACACUAGUUUUCAUUCACCCGGUCUUGUGUCUCUUAUUUCCACUGCUCCCAGAGUGAGCCUAUCUGGUCCAUAUUUUUCCCUUGUAUUUAGAGAGUAACUGUUAAAGUAAGCACCCCUAGUGGGGCGUUACAUAAUACUAACUCUUAUUUUCUGUAGCAGCUCUGACCCAUUUGGUUGAAACGGGCAUCUUAACACCGCCAGGAUUCGAUGCAGCACCCGGUACCGCAUCGCAACUGCAUUUAGGCCCUGUUUAACAAGCAGUCCUGGGGGCCUGCCACAGUGUGGAGAGAGUCAAAGUGCUGAUGAUGAGUCAGCUUCCCGUGGAAAACGUCCAAGAACAUGUCAAAUAGUACAAAUAACGGCUCGAUUUCACACAGGAAACGUCUUCAGUUUGAUGAUGGCUACAAAUCUGUGGAUUUGCAUACCAGUGACCGAGCUGCAUGUGGUGGUGGUGUGGAGCAGACAGGAGCGGCUUCGGAGUUUGACGCUGUUGUCUGGACUGAAGCUUUUGAAUACGUGGGACCAGAACAGUUUCACAGAAAAGCCGGAUGAUGCUGUGGAUACUGGACUAAUUAAUACAGGACAAAUCCAAUAUCAGAAGUGAGAGACAUUGAUGGAGAGGUUUUAAAAGCAAAUCAGCUCAAAGCAGCUCUUACCUUUCUAGCGACAUUGGUGGGUCAGCAAUCUCAUGAAAUUACGAAAAAUACUAUUGAGCAGCGUAGACAAGGCGCUAUUGUGCGUAGAUUAAAUAAUAUUGUUCAGAAAUGAGCAGAAAAGAAUCAGGAAUUGGCAAAAGAAAAUCCUAUACUGUCUGAACAGGUAAAGCAUAUACAUGUGGUACAGGUUAUGCGCGAAGAACAAAACACAUUUUAAAUCUUUAACAGACGUAAUAUUUAAACUCAACAGGGUUUUACAGUUAAAAACUUCAACAAAAUUGUCUGUUUCAGGGUCAUCUAUGUAGUUAUUGGUUGGCAAUUUGAAAAUAUUUCCGUUCUUUACAUAUUCCUGUUUACCUGUUAAACAAACCACAUCAUCAGUACAUGAUAGAUUAUUGUUUUAAAUAAUAAUUAUUAGCAAAAAGAAGCAGACAAUAAAAAUAAUGGGGUCUAAAAGGUGUCGGGAGUCAGACAACACUCCAUGCGUUAGCGCAACAAAUGAUGUUUGGGCACAGAUGUCUAUUAG